rnacentral:rRNA from 1 species
CCUACGGGGGGCAGCAGUGGGGAAUAUUGGACAAUUGGGGGAACCCUGAUCCAGCCAUGCCGCGUGUGUGAAGAAGGCCCUCGGGUUGUAAAGCACUUUCAGUGAGGAAGAACGCCUGGUGGUUAAUACCCAUCAGGAAAGACAUCACUCACAGAAGAAGCACCGGCUAACUCCGUGCCAGCAGCCGCGGUAAUACGGAGGGUGCGAGCGUUAAUCGGAAUUACUGGGCGUAAAGCGCGCGUAGGUGGCUUGAUAAGCCGGUUGUGAAAGCCCCGGGCUCAACCUGGGAACGGCAUCCGGAACUGUCAAGCUAGAGUGCAGGAGAGGAAGGUAGAAUUCGCGGUGUAGCGGUGAAAUGCGUAGAGAUCGGGAGGAAUACCAGUGGCGAAGGCGGCCUUCUGGACUGACACUGACACUGAGGUGCGAAAGCGUGGGUAGCAAACAGGAUUAGAUACCCCAGUAGUC